GAGACAGUCACUCUUGUGGCUACAGUUCGCGUGAUAAAGGCCUGGAUAGAGGGGAAUCGCAAGUAAUGGGAUUUGGUAUCGUAGUGACUCCUCUUUCGGCGAUUCUCGCCUUUAUUGGCAAAGAUAGCCUUCAGGGGGACCUCCGAUCAACUCCACAUCACCUUGCAAGCAUUUUCCCUCCAUAAAUUCUGGCGACUAGCUCCGUCCCUCGAAUCCGCGAUGAUUAACGGCUAGGAGGAGGCUGUCGAUGUGAUUUUCGACUUAAGGGCUCCUCAUCUCUGCAAACUAAAGCCGGAUAUGGACUCCAAGAGAAAAUCUGAGUGAUUUGUUGCUCUUCUUUGACAAAAUCGAUUUUUCAACCGCCGUGCACGGCAGCCAGCGACGCUCUAGCAAGGACCUAAGAGACAGAAUUUUCCCCUUUUCUUGGUGACCCCAAAUCUUCAAUCCAAUUGUUAAUCGAAUGCGAUGUCAAGGAACUGGAAGACAACAGAAAGAGAGCAUUUAAGAAAAUGUGUUACUUUCCGUUGACUCCACGACUUUAAAGGCUAUAUGCAUCUCAUGCUACAACUGAACAGAUGCAGUGGCAUGCAGAACAUGAACGUGAAGCUGAUGUUAUGUGUCGUCCAUCAGAUUCUGAAGCGUGGAAACACUUGAAGGCUGCAGGAGGCAAGAAGAGGAGAAAAGUGUAUGGUAUUGGUUCAAAGGCUGAUAUUUUUUAUAGUCGCACGCAUAAAGAACAUCCUAAUUUAGCAUCACUAAUUUCUUCACGAAUGACAUUCUUUACUUUGAUAGAAAGAAUGUGCAAAAUUUCUUUUUUAUAUUCUUGGUGAAGUGUAUGAAGCAUUUUUUGGAGUUUCCUGUAAAGCUUUGGAUACUUCAUCACUAUAAGAAGAUAACAAACUAAGUAGCUAAUGAAAUUUCCCCCGACCUUUAUGACA